GGACUCCCCCUGCCCUGUGCUUUUUCAGUAGGUUCGAAGAUCAGAGAUUGCGAGGUGCGCUCGGUGAUCGCUCAAGUAGCGGGGAGCUUACACCCCCUGAUUUUGGCCUUCUCGCUGUGCGGUGAGUGGAUAGCUGGGCGCGCAGUGUGGCAGUGGCGGCGAAGAUUGGCGCUAUCAGGAGGAGCAAAAGGGAAGGAUCUGCUGCUGGGGGCUCCCUGGGUGACCCUUUGCUAGGCGAAAAGAACCCGUCGAGAGAGAAGCGCUUGGCAGGAGCUCUCUGCGGGACAUAAGCUCCCUGGCUGCUCGGGAUCCCUACGUCCGCUGCUGCGGAAGGAACACAGGGGAGGACGCAAGCGGUUGCUUACUGGAGCCUGGAGGUAAGCAAGGGGGUGGGAUCCUGAUUCUCAGCCCAGAUUCCAAAAGGGUGUCUGAUUUCAUGGAAACAUUCUUCUCACCCUCAUUUAUCAUCGCACACCCCACCCCCGCUUUUCAGAUCCAGGUUCAGGAAUAACCAAAUCCUUGGCACCCUCACAAGGUGGAAGUACCUUUCACAGCUCAUCGCCUGAAUGCCUUGCUCCUUACAUAUAUAUGUUUGUGUUGGGGGAAUGUGAGCUUCUCAGGGAAGUUG
rnacentral:lncRNA from 1 species